rnacentral:lncRNA from 1 species
UAAGGGAAAAGAUAUCGUACCCGAGGACCAAAAAUAAGAGUACUCCAAACUCCCGCUAUUGUGAGUAACAGACUUUCAUCUUAACUAUUUAAAGUUGUUUCUACUCGUUUUUAUGUUUUAAAGAAUAAUGAGUUUAAAUGGUAAAUUAUUAUGUUUUAAAAUUGAAUUGUUGGUUAAAUGAAAUAAGUUUUAUAACUUGUUUUGAAAUUGAAUACUAGUUUUGGAAAUUGAGUAAGUGGAGACUAUAUACUCGUGUUUUGAUAUAUGGUUUGAAUUGGUGGCUUAUGACAAUGUGAUGGCAUGAAUGGCUAGAUUUCUGUUUUGUAUGGAAUAUAUAAACUGUUUUGUUUUGCCGUGACACAGGCUGGGUAAUAUCAUAUUAGCCAUGUCAUAUUGUCGAAAUUUUUAUUGAUUUGGUGGGAUAAUUGAUUAGUUUACUGCAGUGGGUGAGUUUUUGUGGACCAACCUAUUAGAGGCGCACGGUAAACCCCGUUAUAUUUUACCUUAGUAUGAGAGGCGCGGAAGAUAUCUCCUAAGGUAUAUUUAGAGUUUACUUCACACCGAACCACCACGUGAGGGUGAAACUCAGCCAACGCCAAGGAAUGGCUACGUUUUUAAAUGUAAAAACAUGUUUUAUGUGUAUAUAUCAUUUUAACAGCCUUGGCGAACUCGGUUGGAUGCCCAGGCCAAGGUGUCACCGAGUACGAGUUUUGGCACGAGCCAAGUUUUAAGAGAGUCAUAAGCCUUACUGAUUCUUUUUGAUGAAAUGUAAUUGUUUUAUAUAAAUUGAAAUGAGUUUUGAAUGUUAUGAAUUAUAUUAUGAUGGGAUAAUUUAACUGUCUCCAUUUACUCGGCUUUAGAUGUUAUAGAUGAAUUUUGCUUACUCAUUGGGUUUAUAAAAACUCACCCCUUCUUCUCACCCAUUUCAGGCUCAAGACAGUCUGUAGACAACCGAUUUUGUCGAGGAUUGCUUUUGGAUCUGCAUCCUUAGAAAUCGAAGGUCUACAGGCUUGCAUAUUUUCGGUUAUAUCGAGGCCCACAUGUCAUUGUAGAAUAUUUUGUAUACUUGGCUGUGUGUGCC